rnacentral:misc_RNA from 1 species
GACGGAGGGGGCUAGCGUUGUUCGGAAUCACUGGGCGUAAAGCGCGCGUAGGCGGCGAGGCAAGUUGGGCGUGAAAUCCCGGGGCUCAACCCCGGAAUUGCGCCCAAGACUGCCUGGCUCGAGACCGGGAGAGGGUGGUGGAAUUCCCAGUGUAGAGGUGAAAUUCGUAGAUAUUGGGAAGAACACCAGUGGCGAAGGCGGCCACCUGGCCCGGGUCUGACGCUGAGGCGCGAAAGCGUGGGGAGCAAACAGG